rnacentral:rRNA from 1 species
AUGUCGGUCAGCACUCCCUCCCCCUCCCUACAGUCGUCCAGCUCCACCCAUCUGAGCUUCCUCCAGGUAGCACUCACCUGCACCGUGCUUCCCACACUGUCGUGCAUCAACAAGGAGGCAAGGUGCUUCUCCUUCUCACCUCGGCCAGUGGCUUCUCCUCCUGAAGCUAACACUUUCAAAAAGACUACAAUAUCUGCUCUGUACGUACCUUUAGCAGAAUUAGGUGAUGAAAAAUAUUGCUCCUUUUAUGUAUUGUUGAUUCCAUACUUUUUUCUGUUCUUAGAAAAAACUCAUAUGCAAUAG